rnacentral:misc_RNA from 1 species
UUUCCGUAGGUCGCUAGAGUUCAGCCUACCAAAGCAAACCUUUCAAAACUGCUAGUCUCUCCCCGAGGCGACACGCUCAAUGUUGCGGAGAGGCCCUCUUUUCAGAGGGUAAUCCGCAGCCGGCCCCCUAAAGGCUGGUUCAGAGACUCAAUGAGUGUGGGUUUGGCCUUUUGGCCAGGCUUAAGAUAGAGCCCGUCCCUGUAGGCAACUGCGGGGGAUGAACGGAACCUGCGGAAGGAUCAUUAAAGAAUCGGUGACCCUCGCGGUCCCAUUCUCACCCUUUGUAUACCAAACUUCAGUUGCUUUGGCUGGCCUUCGCGGGCCGGCCAGAGGACUCAAACCCCUGAAUCUUUGCUGUCUGAGUACUAUAUAAUAGUUAAAACUUUCAACAACGGAUCUCUUGGUUCUG